UGCCUGAGUGGGAGGAGCUCCAGAGAUAAUGAAGCACAGCCGACUCACCUGUGAAACCCUCUGAGAACAAUGGAACUGAGCUGGCUGUGAGGAUGUGGAUCUCUUAUCUCCUUAAAGCAGAGUGACCGGCGUACCUGCUGAAACUGCGGGGAGCUGAGCGUGUUCUGGAGCUCCUCUGAGCUCUGAGGCAGAGACUCUCCUGACGGCAGGUAGGGCAUCAACCUCUGCUGCACCUCAGGGUUCACCAGGAUGGGAGCCAUGACCUCAGGAGUCAGGACGCUGGCCAGGUCCACUGCAGGAGAAAAACAUUACACCUGACAGGAGUAAGACACCUUGUGGAGGAGUUACUGGCUGCAGGAACGCUGCUGCUGCUGCUGCUACUGCUGCUGCCCAGGAGGUUGGCCAAGCCUGGACCAGCCAGCGCCCCAAGACCACCUGUCAUCCAGAAAAACACACCCUGCAUUAUUCUCCUGUGAGCAUGACUCUUCUUUUUGCAAAUAUACUCUUUACUUUUCUCUUAUUUCUCUGUUUCUGGAGGACUGAGUUCAGAAGUUGCAUACCUAUCCCGCCAAGCCCGGUCGGUCCAAUUAGCUGCAUGAGCUGGUUAUGGCUCAUGUUACCCAGAAGGCUCUGCAGACCUCCCUCUCCUUCACAAGAAAAAAGUGUGACACAUCAAACUUUAGGAUUCAGGUUCUUCAACAAAAUAAUAAAAAACUCAAAGGAGGAUGAUCUGUUACCUCCCAGAGCAGACAGAUCGUGUCCUCCACUGCCGCCACUACUGAGAGCUCCGGGCAUGGGCGGGUUGUUGAGGUACUCGUUCACUUUACGGCAGACCUCCUCGUCUUUGUCAGUCUUUGGCUCCUGUGAACAAAAACACAAGAUUGUCAGAGGUUGUAUGUAACUCUUGGUUGAGAAAAUUACAUUGAGUAGAUUUAGGGUUAAUAUUAAUAACACUUUCUAUGAUAAACGUGGGCUCAUCCCUGUGAGAUAGAUUUGAAUGAGGCAACAAUAGUUGAAUGUUUAGUGUAUGGUGUUCUCCCACUUGGAUAGAAAAAAGUCAAACUCCAGCCACACAGGGAUACAAUAGAUUUUUUGGGGACCAGUUUAAGCUGUGGAUUAAUACACAUUUAGUGCUCUUGUGGUAAAAAGAAGAGGCAUGGUGUGUGUUGGGCAGUUAAAUUAAAUUACAUCACCCUGGCUCAUUAGUGUGAUUUUAAUGUGAUUUUAAUCUGCCAUCAGUGUUUGUGAUUCCACCAAGGGAAAAUUAAUCUUAUGGAACCUGAAGAAGGAGGCAGAGAUUAUCCAGCUUCAUACCUGCAUCCAGAAGAACAGUCUUUUGGAGCCUGCCUUGAACUUCAGCACAUAGACCCGCCCGGUGGUGCACUGGUUCACCCGUUUGAACUCGCAGUCAUCAGGAAAGAUAAUCAGGUCCUAAAUCAGAACACGUUAAACAGUUAGAGUCAAGUACUGGUGGAGUUGAAGCCACAUGCUGACAUUUAGAGCCGCCUACAUCAUCCACGUUCCCAGUGGUCCGAUCCUUCCAGCAGAAGUGGAUGAGGGAGUCGUCGGUCUGCUGGAUGUAGACCUGGCCCUUGCGCUUGUCGGGGGUCACCGUGCUGCCCUUCAUGGUCAUCUUGCCAGCGCGAAACUCCACCAGAUACUUACUGGAGGAGCCGCGAGACCCAGACACCAUGCUGGGGAAGAGAGCUCCGGAGGCCAUGAUGAGUGGGACAGAACAGACUGCUGCAGAGAGGGAGAGGAGGAAGGUCAGUAAUACACCCAAACACAGGCUGUCUGACUCGUUUGUGAGACCACAGAGGAAACAGACUUGAGGAUCCUCCUUUUUUUUUUUUAUUGUAUUGAUUCUCAAAAGCACUAUCAGUAUAAAUGAACAGCUAACAUCAUAAUAUUUUAACAUCUGACUGAUUUAUUUGGAUAUUAAUGCAUUUGCUUUAUGAAGUUGGAAGUAACAAUUUGUCCUUUACAAACAGGUGAUGAAAAUACAUGUGAAUUGAAAAAAGUUCUAAAUUAAGCCGAUAUGAUCAAAACAGUUGUCAUUGGACGAUAUCAGA